UACAGAGGUCUCAAGCGUUGUUCGGAUUCAUUGGGCGUAAAGGGUGCGUAGGCGGCGCGGUAAGUCGGGUGUGAAAUUUCGAGGCUUAACUUCGAAACUGCAUUCGAUACUGCCGUGCUAGAGGACUGGAGAGGAGACUGGAAUUUACGGUGUAGCGGUGAAAUGCGUAGAUAUCGUAAGGAAGACCAGUGGCGAAGGCGGGUCUCUGGACAGUUCCUGACGCUGAGGCACGAAAGCGUGGGGAGCAAACAGG
rnacentral:rRNA from 1 species